GAACACAUAGAAUGAAUGAAGGUUUAUUAGCAUUACUCACAGGCUGUGGUCUAGCUAAUACAAUAAUGGCUGACUGUGGACAGAAGGUCCAAGAAUCCAGUCCUUAUUCAGUUCACAGGGGAAACUUCAGCUGGUCUUCAGCGUACACCAGAAUCCUGGAGGCUGUGAAGGGAUGGACUUGAAGCUAGUAAGAGGCACGUGUGUGACAUGACUUGGGUGUGGAGGUCAAAGGACAGCUUGUGGGAGUGUUUUCUCUUUCCACCACACCAUGUAGAUGCUGGGGCUUGAGCUCGGACCAGCAGACUUGAGGCAGAAGUAGAAACAGAGAUUAACGAACCAUAUUUAAACGUGCCUUGCUUUUCAAGCCGCCACCAUUGGUUUUAACAGAAAGACGUGGAUUCCGUACAAGACAUCGCUACAGUGAGGGAUGAGGUUUACGCUUUCCCCUGAUCUAAAGCACCACACAGACGCUCUCAGUCCUGAGCAAAGAAAGCAUUGUGUGCCCAGCCUUAAAAUGAAACUGCCCAGUCCCUUCUAUCCGGCCGGCACAUUAGCUGACCUCAGCCACUGACGCUCGUGAGCGCAGCCUGUGCUUCCUCUUAAGCAGUGACAUCAGCCUCAUCAUAAACCCUGUUAUCAGAUCGAAGAUCCUCUCUUCCUCUCAGCUUCAAAACAGUGACAGGAAAUGGAAAGGGGGAAAACACGUGGGAGUCUGAAGCCAGUCACUACGCCUAUGUCCGAACAGGAAGGAAAUGACCCAGGACACCUGCGCAGCAGCAGGAGCCAGGCUGGCCCCAUUCGGAUGUCAUGCAAACAGGGGCUGCACUGUGAUCUCAGACUGAGUGAUGUCCCACCCACCCACCCAGGCUGGUAACACGGCUUCUGGAAGUUCUCAUCCCUACACCCUGUCUGUCCCGGCCUCACUUGUCCUUGGGAGUCACGAACAAGCGUCUCUUUACCACAUAUAGGACACCAACAACAGACCAAGGAACAGUCUCACCCUGGUUCAGCCUGUGAAACAGUUUGUUGGCAUUAUUCACAAGAGCAUGGGUGGGGGUUACUCACAGGCAAAUCAAAGGCAGCUGCAUCACUGGAAAGUCCCAUCCCGGCUCGGGUUAGGACUCAUGAACUUGUCAUCACUGGAGCGCUGCCUUGUGUUAACCAUCCACCUGCCACAGAGUCCAGCACCACUAAAUCAUGAUCAGCUGGGAGGCAGUAAGGAGUAAUGGCUGGGACCCCAGGUGAGAUUCCACUGAGCCUCUCCUUCUCCUUCUAUUAGAAAGUUACCAGAGCCCUCACCUGAGCCCUCCGGGUUUCUCUGAUUUUCUGCAUAUUUCAUUGCAUGGCUGUGGAGCCACACAUUUGUAGGGGAGCACUCGUAAGCCUCUACCCCAUGAUGGCUGAUCAUCUUGUCACACCUGUAAGAAAUCUCUUCACCCUUCAGAAGCUGAAAUACUAAUAGCAGAGACUGUCGCUCAGGGUUUGCUUUUGAUUAAUCCAGGGAUCAGACGAGGGACAAGACAAAACAAGAUGCUGUUAAAUUAUUUGGGACCUUUUGAAGCUGGGUCAUGGGCCAUAGAGAAUUGAAGGUCAUUUUGCUUGUGACCACACUUGUAUUUUUCUAUAAUAAACUUGUUAUUUUAUCUUGG